AAAAUUGGUCUACACAUAGGAAUCAUUUGGAGAACUAAUUUAUUAAAAAAUAGAGAUUCGUGUGCCCUGCCUUAGAACUACAAAAUAAGUCACGGACUGAUACCAGGCCAUGGCCUGGGGGUUGGGGAUUGCAAACUUAGAACAUUGCCUGUAGCACAGCAACUACUUUAUGUUACUGAUCAGAAUCCACUUGCAUGGAGAAGAUGCCCAACUUUGUAUAUACGGAAACAGAGGUAGGGCUAUAGCUUUGAAAUUUUAUCUUCUCCUAGGGAUGUUAGCUCUACCUUCUUCUUCUGAAAGUUCUUCUUGUAGUGGUCUUUUUAUGUCAUUUCUCCUUGGUCUUAUAAUGAUAACUAGCUGCCUCUAUCUUCCUAUUAUAUAUAAACAUAUAAUACACAAAUGGGUAAAAUAAAUCAUUCUUACUCUCUUUUUGAGCUGGAGGUCCAUAUACCACCAGUAGGCUGACACCCAAAUUGAGGCUAUUAGGUAACCAGUGAGCAUUUCUCCAAAAGAUGCUGGCUUUUUUGCUUUUUUUCACAUCCUUACCAUAGUCACUUUAGAUCAAUGCCAGACAUGAAUAAUUCAUAUUCUCACAAGGCAAAAAAUGGCACAUGUGAAAAUUGUAAUAAACACUUCUGAUUGAUCUGGCUCAUAUUUAUAAUAUAUACAUAUUUGUUCAUAUUUAUACAUAUACAUGUGUAUGUACUGAGAGAAUAAACAUGAAUGAGCAUACUGUGCAAACAAGCCAUGAUUCCUGCCUUCUGGGAGAUUAUCAUCUAUCUUACUGUCAACCGUGGUUAACUCACUCUCAUUAAAACCCACACAGCAGUUGGCAUCUCUCAAGGAUUUCAUCUGGUAGUUAUUUGCCUUCUCUGCUGCCUCUCAGUUCCAGCCAUGCCUUUUCUUUGUAUCUCUGUCGACAUCUAGCACAGUGUCUUAAACAAAGGAGAUGCUCUCUAGUAGGUUACCUAAAUUGAAAGUAAGAUCCUCUAAAGGGCAGCUACUUAUUGAUGUUUCACAUUCACAGAUGAGGACCUCAGAGUAUCACUACAACACCCAUGGUGAAACUUCAGGCUUUCUGAGGUACAUUAAUUUACUCACAUCACAGGAAUACCAUUUAUUACAUUUCUGCUCCAAUGAGAUAAGUGCUACCCUAAUGACCUGAAAGAGUUAAUGCAUCUUGGAAAAGAUCCAAAUUACUCUCUGGAGACAGUUUAUUCAAUUAACUGGCUGAGACUCAGCAUUUUCAAUUACCAGUUCAGUUACUAAAGACUCUUUCAUAUUGGUUAUCUGUUAAUGUGUGAUAUUGACACACUUAUAAAAAGAACAUUUGCUUAUAGUGCAUUCAAAAUGGAAUCUUUAGGGAUAAUAAAUGCAGAUUAAAAUUUAUUUUGUACCUACUGAGUGCCAGGAACUGUGUUUAGUACCUUCCCAUUGGGAUUUAAGGGGAAUGCAGUGAAGACUGGGAGAUAAUGGGGUUGGAAGUACAAGGUAGUGCUAUACAAAGUACUGGUAGACAGAGAAAAAUAAAGUGGUUCCUUUCUUUAAAAAGUCCACAAAGAAGAUCCCAACUGAGUUCAUCUACGGCUCUUCAGGAUCUGACUAAAUUCAAUUAGCUACUCAUUGUCCUGAAUAAAUGCAUAUUAUCCCUAUCUAGAAAGACCUUCUCACACACCUAAAUCCUGCCUUCCUCCAAGAACCAGUUCAGCUCCUACCCCAAGCAGAAAACUUUCUCUGAUUGAUCUGUU